rnacentral:rRNA from 1 species
GUCUAUGGUCAUGCUACCCUGAACAAGCCCAAUCCUGUCUGAUCUCGGAAGUUAAGCAGGGUCGGGCCUGGUUAAUACUUGGAUGGGAGACCACCUAGGAAGACCAGGUGCUGUAGGCA